AAAAACAAUAAUGAAAAACAAUAAUGCUCCUCCCCCUCCUCCUCAUUUAAUAGAUCCUCAUCAAGCUCCACCUACUCACGGAGCCACGCCCAGUUAUGUGGCUCUAGCCUCAAUGAGUGAUGAUAAAGAUGUUUUGUCGAAGGGGGUGGAGCAUUUAGCUUACCAUCAAUUACCUCAUGAUAGUGUUGAUAAAAUUUUGCCAAAAAGGAAAAAUUCACAGAACAAGCUAAUGGUCGGGAUGAUGUACCAUUAAAGACAUCUAAACUCUCUCCUCCUCCUCCUCCUGAUGAUGUUGCUGUUAAAGAAGAUGUUGGUGUCAGUUCUUCCUCCAGUGCUCCUCUUGAUGUCCUCCUGAUGCCUCCUCCUCACUUACCCCCUCCCUCUUCAACUCUCUUGUCUUCAGUGAAGAAACAACCUCUCACUACAAACCAAUCUCAAACUGAUGCAGUAAAAAGAGCUCACCCUCAAUCACCUAUUCCUGUUCCCAUACCACCACAGUCUGGAACCAAUCCUCUCUCGGUCCUUAAAAAUACUUCAACUGCCACUAGUGCUCCUCCAGUACAGGCUGCUCCUUCUGUAGAUUCUUCUUUUUCUGCUCAGUGUUAAAUCAGCUCCCAGUGGUUCUGCUCCAGUCAUGGCUACCUCUGCAUUCUCCCUGGUCAGUUAUGAUUCUGAAGAUUCUGAUUCUGAAACUGCUUGAGAUAGAAACAACAUGAGAAUGAGGAGACUAUCAUGAAUUAUAUCUGCAUCAUCAUGAUAAUGUGAAUUUUCCUUUUAAAAUUACUUUUGUAUUAAUUUUAAUUGAUAAUAAUUAUCAUUCUUUUAUUCAUAAAGGUUCCACUAUUAUAGUAGUGGGUGGCUGGUUUAAAAUCUA